rnacentral:rRNA from 1 species
GACGAACGCUGGCGGCGUGCUUAACACAUGCAAGUCGAACGGAAAGGCCCUGCUUGCAGGGUACUCGAGUGGCGAACGGGUGAGUAACACGUGGGUGAUCUGCCCUGCACUUCGGGAUAAGCCUGGGAAACUGGGUCUAAUACCGGAUAGGAGCCAUUUUUAGUGGGAUGGUUGGAAAGUUUUUUCGGUGUAGGAUGAGCUCGCGGCCUAUCAGCUUGUUGGUGGGGUAAUGGCCUACCAAGGCGGCGACGGGUAGCCGGCCUGAGAGGGUGGACGGCCACAUUGGGACUGAGAUACGGCCCAGACUCCUACGGGAGGCAGCAGUGGGGAAUAUUGCACAAUGGGCGCAAGCCUGAUGCAGCGACGCCGCGGGGGGGAUGACGGCCUUCGGGUUGUAAACUCCUUUCGCUAGGGACGAAGCUUUUUGUGACGGUACCUAGAUAAGAAGCACCGGCUAACUACGUG